rnacentral:lncRNA from 1 species
ACAAAUUGAUUUUGUAGGAUUGAGUUAGGCUUAAAAUUUACUUGACAUAACUUAAAAAAAUAAUAAAUAAUAAUGAAAUACAUAUUGCUAAUAUUAAUAUCAACGUAACCUUGUAUAAUUUGCCUUCCAUAGCUUGUUUUAGUUGGCUAUAGUUAUUAUUUUCCAUAAGUAUACCAUUUAAAUGUCAAAGUCUCAUAAAGGAUGGC